rnacentral:rRNA from 1 species
UUACGGGAGGCAGCAGUGGGGAAUAUUGCACAAUGGGCGCAAGCCUGAUGCAGCGACGCCGCGUGAGGGAUGACGGCCUUCGGGUUGUAAACCUCUUUCAGUACCGACGAAGCGGAAGUGACGGUAGGUACAGAAGAAGCACCGGCCAACUACGUGCCAGCAGCCGCGGUAAUACGUAGGGUGCGAGCGUUGUCCGGAAUUACUGGGCGUAAAGAGCUCGUAGGUGGUUUGUCGCGUUGUUCGUGAAAACCUGAGGCUUAACCUUGGGCGUGCGGGCGAUACGGGCAGACUGGAGUACUGCAGGGGAGACUGGAAUUCCUGGUGUAGCGGUGGAAUGCGCAGAUAUCAGGAGGAACACCGGUGGCGAAGGCGGGUCUCUGGGCAGUAACUGACGCUGAGGAGCGAAAGCGUGGGGAGCGAACAGGAUUAGAUACCCCGGUAGUCCG